CGGUAAUUCCAGCUCCAAUAGCGUAUAUUAAAGUUGUUGCAGUUAAAAGGCUCGUAGUUGGAUUUCUGGCAGGAGCGACCGGUCACGCACUUUGUGCGUGAACUUGCGUUGUCUCUGGCCAUCCUUGGGGAGAUCCUAUUUGGCAUUAAGUUGUCGGGUAGGGGAUACCCAUCGUUUACUGUGAAAAAAUUAGAGUGUUUAAAGCAGGCUUAUGCCGUUGAAUAUAUUAGCAUGGAAUAAUAAGAUAGGACUUCGGAACUAUUUUGUUGGUUUGCGUUACGAAGUAAUGAUUAAUAGGGACAGUUGGGGGUAUUCGUAUUCCGUUGUCAGAGGUGAAAUUCUUGGAUUUCCGGAAGACGAACUACUGCGAAAGCAUUUACCAAGGAUAUUUUCAUUAAUCAAGAACGAAAGUUAGGGGAUCGAAGAUGAUUAGAUACCAUCGUAGUCUUAACCAUAAACUAUGCCGACUCAGGAUCGGAGGUUGUUUUUUGACUCCUUCGGCACUGUAUGAGAAAUCAAAGUCUUUG
rnacentral:rRNA from 1 species